UGCCCGGUAGCUCAGUGGUAGAGCAGGCGGCUGUUAACCGCUUGGUCGCAGGUUCGACCCCUGCCCGGGCAGCCA
rnacentral:tRNA from 1 species